GGGUGCGAUCAUAUCAUUAUUAAUGCGUCGUAUCCCAUUAGAAAUCCGCAGUUAAGAGAGCUUGGGCUAGAGUAGUACUAGGAUGGAUGACCUCCUGGGAAGUCCUAGUGUUGCACCCU
rnacentral:rRNA from 1 species